UGAAUGCGCACCAAAUGGCUGACACCCGAUAUAGUGCACUAGGCUACAUCAUAGACAUAAUAUACGUAGACACCUCAUGACGUGCUGGAGCGUAUAUUUUAACCUGUAGAAGGAACACAAAAACCUCAAGGAAAGCUGAAGGGAACCUACCAGUGGACCUUUCUCGGCAUUUUCCUGAACGUGAACCUCAGCCCAAUGAUGUUUUUUGACAUCCUGAACAGCCACAAGCCUGACACUGACUUAUACUCCCAAGAAGCACAGAGUAAUUUUGCACCCAGUAGAUUUGUACUGCAAUUAAAUCAUUUACCAUUCAGGGACUUUAUUGGAGCAAAACAUUUAUUGCUGCCGCUAUCUCUGUCCCCAUGUGUUGUGUUACAUGUUAUGAAUAUUUGUAGAAAAGUCUAUUAAUGUAUAACUGCGAUUACUUGGUGCUCUCGAGGUGUCUUAUUUUGCCAUGAUCUUACUGAUGAAACGUUUUCUUUUGAAGGUAUACUUCAGUCAUUGCCUUUGUCAUCAACAUGGACACAUUGUUGAUGAUGAUUCCUGACCUGCUCCAAGUUCAGCGUUAUGUCUGCACAUACAGUUUCAUUCAGGAUCACUUGGAGCUUUUGUUCAAUUCUGUCAGGGCAUCAGGAGGGUGAAAUAACAAUCCAACUGCAGGGCAGUUCCAAGGCAUUUUCCGUCAUCGGGUUUGUGGGUCUGUUGUGGUCUCUCACCAAGUGGGUCAGGCAACGUGGCAGAACAAGAUGAAAUGGUGUUCGUUCAGCUGCCAACAUGCACUCUGCUUUAAUGGCAGAGGAGCUCCUGUCCCCAUUUGCAAACAUUUCUGCAGUCAUAUGUGACCACAGUUACCUGCCCACCCGCCUUAGCAGUCUUGUGGACAAUGCCAGCAUACGCAAGAAGCUGUGCAAAACAGUUAAAGAGAAUGUGUGAAAGAGAGAAAUAAAUUCAAAUGAACAAUCAAA